AACGUCGUGAAGCUUGCCACAAACGAAAGGGAAAGCGAGGAACCCUUUUUCAUUUCUUGCCAUUGAGUGCUCUACUCCGAAUUUCGACUAAGAGGCUCCACAAUUCAAAUGAUAGGCUGGGUCAGCGGCAAAGAAAAAAAUAUAAGGCCUUACGAGCCAUUAAGAGUCGUUUACUUAGAUAGAUCAUGUUGUCUAAGGAUUUGACAUUCCAGAACCUCCAGCGUGCAUGGAAGAAUUGGGAAUGGCAAAAUCCCUGACGCGGCCAUAGCCGCUUCCAGCAUUUACAACCCAAGCUAUAAAUCCAGCAAUGGUCAGCUGUACAAUUAUCCGGCUGGUUGGGUAGCUCGUACCACAGAUCUCCAACAAUGGUUUCAAGUAGAUUUUGGAGACUUGACCCUGGUGAAAAGAAUCUGCACCCAAGGUGAUGCAAUCUGCACCCAAGGUGAUGCAAACAAUAACAACUAAAACAACUAUGGUUUUUAAGGAUUAUCAGGCGGAUAGUCUUUCAAAGCUGCUUGAAAGCCACUAGGCUGCUAUAUAAUGAAAGCUAAAGCGCUCGAUGAGUAUUUCCUGAGAGCAGGAAGCAUCUCUCAGAUAAGCAAGAGAUUCAGCGCAUGCGGAAAGGAGGCCAAGGCUAAAGGAAUCAAAUUGUUUGGUAUGGAUGACAAGCGAUGCUGGACAAGUGAUGACCCAGAGAAAUCCUUCAAAAAGUUUGGGAAAUCGGGAUUGUGCAUGGCGAAGAAAGAGUAUGGCACUGGCUUUACAAAGUCACUCACAGUGUUCGUAUACCGCAUGGAUGACAAAGGGUGUCCUGAUAUGGAUGAGGCAUUGAAAAUAAAGCAUGGAAGUGUACGGAAAUAAAAAGGAAAAAGCAAACAGUAACUUAAAGUAUUGAUAUGCUGGUGAGCCGCCAUGUUAAUUUGGACUGCAUAACGCAUGCUCGGAGAGUGAAGACUGAGGAAAACUUACAAGAAAAAUACUUCGAAAAGAUAACGUAGUUGUUGAGAAAAGAUUGUUGGAAAUCAAUGCAAGAGGUAACAAUUGUAACCUAGACCCACAAAUAGCGUUUCCCGUUGUUCGAUUUUGAAUUUUUAAAAACAAAUCGGUAUUUCGUAGUAAACGCAGAGCUCUCAAAUUUUAAAAUGAAAUUACCCGGAGAUGAACAAAAUUUAUGUUCAUUUUGUGGAGGAGCUCAAUAACCAACAGUAAUAAUUUAGGAAGGCAAAUGUUCAAAAUCUAGGACUGGUUCCGUUGUUAGGAAGGACACUUCCAGUGACUCUAUGAAACCUGUCGGUUGAAUUGAGUAGAUUCUUUCGCUGUCAAAUCUGGCCGAGCCUUAACUUUUUGGUUGAAAUUUUCUAACUUAAAAGUUAUUGCGAUGAGAUUAUAUAUAGUUCUUUCUUUUCUUAAUCUUUUCUUCUUCGUAGAAUUGGUUUUGUCCUAAUUUCAACUUCGCCUACUUAUGUUCUGUGAG